CAGAGCAUAGCUAAAACAGUAUAGCAACUCCCUUACACUGAGAAGAUAUCCGUGCGAAUCGGAUUGCCCUGA
rnacentral:tRNA from 1 species